rnacentral:lncRNA from 1 species
UAACUUAGAUUGGUGUCUCUGACUCGGCUUGAGGUUGUGACUUGGGUUGGUGCUGCAGGAUCCAUGCUUUCCAUCUUCAUGACUCGGUCAUUGGACUCGCAAAUGAUCCUGAAGCUUUUGCCGAACUAAGAGAGUGAAGAUUGGCACUGUUGACGGUGGCGAAGAAGCUUCGGAAGCGCUGUCAAUCUGUCUCUCCCCUUGCAGUGGUGAUGCAGCAGCAGUGCGGGGAAGGCAGUGGUGUGAUGCGAGAAAUUACUUGACACACAAAUUAAACCCUCUUUUUGUCAAUUGUAGUAUAAGUAUAAGUAGGGUAUCGUUCUAGGCCGGGGAUUAG